rnacentral:rRNA from 1 species
AGAGUUUGAUCCUGGCUCAGGAUGAACGCUAGCGGCAGGCUAAUACAUGCAAGUCGAGGGGUAACAGGGGAGCUUGCUCCUGCUGACGACCGGCAAACGGGUGAGGAACACGUACACAACCUUCCUUCCAGUGGAGGAUAGCCCAGGGAAACUUGGAUUAAUACUCCGUAAGAUGUUAGGGAGGCAUCUCCCAGACAUUAUAGUAGCGAUACGCUAGAAGACGGGUGUGCGUCUGAUUAGGUAGUUGGCGGGGUAACGGCCCACCAAGCCGACGAUCAGUAACUGGUGUGAGAGCACGACCAGUCACACGGGCACUGAGACACGGGCCCGACUCCUACGGGAGGCAGCAGUAAGGAAUAUUGGUCAAUGGACGAAAGUCUGAACCAGCCAUGCCGCGUGAAGGAUGAAGGUCCUCUGGAUUGUAAACUUCUUUUAUAUGGGACGAAAAAAGGGUUUUCUAACUCUACUGACGGUACCAUAUGAAUAAGCACCGGCUAACUCCGUGCCAGCAGCCGCGGUAAUACGGAGGGUGCAAGCGUUAUCCGGAUUUACUGGGUUUAAAGGGAGCGUAGGUGGGCUGUUAAGUCAGUGGUGAAAUCCCGGGGCUCAACCUCGGAACUGCCGUUGAUACUAUCAGUCUUGAAUAUUGUGGAGGCUAGCGGAAUAUGUCAUGUAGCGGUGAAAUGCUUAGAUAUGACAUAGAACACCGAUUGCGAAGGCAGCUGGCUACGCAUAUAUUGACACUGAGGCUCGAAAGCGUGGGUAGCAAACAGGAUUAGAUACCCUGGUAGUCCACGCCCUAAACGAUGGAUACUCGACAUUAGCGAUAUACUGUUAGUGUCUGAGCGAAAGCAUUAAGUAUCCCACCUGGGAAGUACGAUCGCAAGAUUGAAACUCAAAGGAAUUGACGG